rnacentral:rRNA from 59 species
UUAAAUUGAAGAGUUUGAUCAUGGCUCAGAUUGAACGCUGGCGGCAGGCCUAACACAUGCAAGUCGAACGGUAACAGGAA